ACAUAAUUAGUAUAUAAAAUAUAUUAGAUUUAGGUUCUAAAGAUUUAUUUAUGUU
rnacentral:tRNA from 1 species